AGGCUCUAUCUUUAAUAACAAAAAAGUUAUGCAAAAUUUACGAUCUUAUAAAGUACAUGUUAAUGGUAAAAAACCGAAAUUUUGAUUUUUCUCAAAAACUACAAUUUUUUAAGUUUUUUAUUAUUACGUACAAGGUGCCCAUUUGCAAGGAGUACUUGACAGUUUUUAAAUGAAGGCUCUAUCGUUAAUACCAAAAAAGUUAUGCAAAAUUUACGGUCUUAUAAAGUACAUGUUAAUGGUAAAAAACCGAAAUUUCGAUUUUUUUUAAAAACUGCAAUUCUUCUAGUUUUUUAUUAUUACGUACAAGGUGCCCCUUUGCAUGGAGUACUUGACAGUUUUUAAAUGAAGGCUCUAUCUUUAAUACCAAAAAAGUUAUGCAAAAUUUACGGUCUUAUAAAGUACAUGUUAAUGGUAAAAAACCGAAAUUUCGAUUUUUUUUAAAAACUGCAAUUCUCCUAGUUUUUUAUUAUUACGUACAAGGUGCCCCUUUGCAUGGAGUACUUGACAGUUUUUAAAUGAAGGCUCUAUCGUUAAUACCAAAAAAGUUAUGCAAAAUUUACGAUCUUAUAAAGUACAUGUUAAUGGUAAAAGUGCGAAAUUUCGAUUUUUUUCAAAAACUGCAAUUCUUCUAGUUUUUUAUUAUUACGUACAAGGUGCCCCUUUGCAAGGAGUACUUGACAGUUUAUAAAUGAAGGCUCUAUCUUUAAUACCAAAAAAGUUAUGCAAAAUUUACGAUCUUAUAAAGUACAUGUUAAUGGUAAAAAACCGAAAUUUCGAUUUUUUUCAAAAACUGCAAUUCUUCUAGUUUUUUAUUAUUACGUACAAGGUGCCCCUUUGCAUGGAGUACUUGACAGUUUUUAAAUGAAGGCUCUAUCUUUAAUACCAAAAAAGUUAUGCAAAAUUUACGAUCUUAUAAAGUACAUGUUAAUAGUAAAAAACCGAAAUUUCGAUUUUUUUCAAAAACUGCAAUUCUUUUAGUUUUUUAUUAUUACGUACAAGGUGCCCCUUUGCAUGGAGUACUUGACAGUUUUUAAAUGAAGGCUCUAUCUUUAAUACCAAAAAAGUUAUGCAAAAUUUACGAUCUUAUAAAGUACAUGUUAAUAGUAAAAAACCAAAAUUUCGAUUUUUUUCAAAAACUGCAAUUCUUUUAGUUUUUUAUUAUUACGUACAAGGUGCCCCUUUGCAUGGAGUACUUGACAGUUUUUAAAUGAAGGCUCUAUCUUUAAUACCAAAAAAGUUAUGCAAAAUUUACGAUCUUAUAAAGUACAUGUUAAUAGUAAAAAACCGAAAUUUCGAUUUUUUUCAAAAACUGCAAUUCUUUUAGUUUUCUAUUAUUACGUACAAGGUGCCCCUUUGCCAGAAGAACUUGACAGUUUUUAAAUGAAAGCUCUAUCUUUAAUAACAAAGAAGUUAUGCAAAAUUUUCGAUCUAAAAAAGUACAUAUUAAUUGUAAAAAAUCGAAAUUUCGAUUUUUCUCAAAAACUAUAAUUUUUUCAGUUUUUGAUAAUUACG